rnacentral:lncRNA from 1 species
ACACGGGCGCAUGCAUCAGAACCGCCGAACGGAUAAAGUUUUUUCUAUCCGCCCAAGGCAUCACAAUCGGUACAAUUCAAAACAUUCCAAACUGGAAUAGAAUUCAUACACAAAUUGUAUAAGGAAGGCAUCAUAAAUAUAAAUAACUACACUAUUAUAAGCAUUCAUCUCAUUCACUUUACAAUUACUUUCUUCCAAACACAAUCAAGUUUGCUACAUUUCUUUCACUAUUUUCAAACCCUUAAGCUGCAUCGAUCCAGGGUAUAUCUAUCUUUGGUUGCAUGGCAGAACGCUAACUAUAGCUACGUUCUUUCCUCGCGCCGCUCACAUGUGGACCUGCAAAAUAUGGGGGUGAGAACUAUAAACAUAGUUCCUAGUGGGUUCAGCCACCGACCUCGCCGAUUUUUCCAUUAGGUCUAAUCAAGCAUAAGUAGCUACAAAAACAGGUAGGUAAUAAUGUGACUAUACUAAGCAUAUAUAGAACUGAAAGCAAGUGCUACUAUACCUUACAACAGUAGGGAAUGAGUUCCAUGGUUCACUAUAAUAAAUAGUGUUCUUCUACUCACUCUUGGCCAACUCAUUCUCGACCAAAUUAGGGACUCCCACAAAUCCAGUCCAACUCACCCCACACAACCUCACGGGCCUAGGUCCAGGAAUAACAUGAUCGACCGUCACUCCACAUGACUUAUUCUUGACCCAAUCACGGGCUUCUCAUAAGACCAAAGCCAACUCACAUGAAUAUCAUGAUUGAUCCCACACACAAUAUGUGAUCUCACUAUGCUCAGCCUCUAUGCAGGAUGCAACAAUACAAUAUGGCAUAGGGUGCAAGACUAUCUCAACCCAAAGAAUAAUAUGCAACAAAUGCUAAUCACUAUGCCAUCUCAAUAACAACAUAUCAAGGUUCUACUAUGUAUGCAACAUAUAUGAAAUGCCCAUGACUAUGCCUUGAUCCAAAUCCAUCAGUUCGCUCAUAAGUCGAACCACGACUCGCCACAGUAUGUCACCACCGUGACCGUUUGCCCAGGGGCGCACCGUCGUGUCUCUCUCCCCCGUCUCUUCCUCAAUGUGAUACUCCGGAGCUCACGGCUUGGGAGUCGCGAUCUCCACAAGCCAAAACAGAUGACUAUGUGAGUAUGAUCACGUCCUCCCACCCGAGGACCUCAGGGAUCUCACCACAUCCUAAAUAGUAAUAAGGCAUGCAAUGCUCAAACAAUAAUAGAAUACACAAAUUCAUGCUAUAAGUGCAAUGACCCAAUCUCUUGGUACUUAGUAUCCAAUCAACUUAUGCCAAUAACCACAGUGACAACUCAACAUCGAGGGAUCUCUUUCAACCCCUAGCAUGGUCUAGAGGAUAUCUUUCAAUCCCUCGCAUGCUCAAGAAUCUCAAAACACUAGUUGUCACGCCACGAAUGCACCGGCCCAAUCUUUUCCACAUAUACUCAAGAGUUUUCUCAACUCAUGUUGCGUGCAUCAAUAGGAUAUACAAACAUCACAACAUGUGAAUACAAACAACUAUGCAAUGCUUCAUGGACUAUCGCCACACAUGCAUGAAAUGACCCAAUUUCACAUUUUACACUUGGGUUCUCUCAAUUUACGCCAUAUCACUCUCAUGUAUAUCACAUUAUACCCAAAUCAUGGUUUCAUUACUAGAUUCACAUGCAAUCAUCACAAUGACGUCUAGUAUAUCUCACUUGUUUCAAUGUCCAUCACUUGUUUUCUAUGUUCAAUCCACUAGUUUUCUCUACUAGUUCAUCAAUACAUCAUUAGGGUUCAUAUAUUACUAUGUUCAUGCAUCCUAGGUUCCAAGUCCUCAAUCAUAAUCAUUUCAUAUAUCAUAAGAGGCAUACUAGUUUUUGGAAUGAGGAUUAAUUGAACCCUAUCACACAUAAUCAAUACACAUAUAUACUCAACAAGGAGAAUUAGACACAGGGAGAAAUCCAACCAUUUCGGGAAGCACCACCCACCUUACAACACCUCUGAUUGCUUGUAGACAUUUGCAAUCGGGCUCCCGCGGUUAAUCGCUCCCUUUCGAGCUCGCAUGGCUAACAUCGCUCGGUUUAGUUCGUUACUCGAAACAAUCACCAAUGUUCGUCGGUUUCCAAAUCAAGUCAUCUGGGGUACUUCUCUAGCCUUCAAUUAGAGAAUUAGAGAAUCAAUUUGGUUCAAAACCUCAAAACCCCAAAAUCCCCAAUUCUAACCCUAGAUUCCAAUUUCUCCACAAUUAUCUCAAAAUCCAUGGAAAAACUUUGAUUAAAUAAGUAUGGAAUCAUCUAGGGGACUAGAAAUCUCAAUUUCAAGGGAUUUAAUCCAAACCCUAAUCUCUUAACCCAAAAAUGAACCUCGAGUCUCUGCCACCAAGCCCCCGAAAACUCGAUUCUCUACUCCCCCGAGCAUCCCGAGCUCGAUCUCCACCAAAAUCCUAAGUUUGGGAGGAAUCUAGAGAGAGGAAGAGGAGAGAAAGAGAAGGGUUCUCCUUCUUCUUCUCUUGUGUGUGAGGAGGAAAAUAAGAGAGGAGUUGGGAGGCUUAUUUAUAAAAGGGAGAAGCUACAAUUCCCAAAACCCCUAAUCUUGACACUUUUCGAGCAGAAAGUCCGGACCUUGGCUCCAGGGUCCGGAACCUAUAGGCUAUUUUUCACGCUGCGCAAUCAGGGUCCGGAGCUUGGGUUCAAGGUCCGGAAUCCGAAAGUCCUCAGCUAAAAAAUGCUAUUUCCAAAAAAAUCUCAUUUUUUGUCCUUGAGCCUCUAAUUCACCUCUAAUCAUCCCAAAACCUUCAAAUCUCAUUUUUGAGCAUGUUUAAAUUACUUCUCUAUUGUACUUUUGCCCAAUCGACCCAACUUGGCAUAGUGCUUCGAAACUCGGUACACUACACCCUCACAAGCCAAAAAAAGUAUGGGCAGCAUGAGGAGAGGUGCUCUAAAUAUGGGCAAUUGGGUUACAUGCGGUUUGAAUGCCCACAAGGUGAUAGCCGGACCUAGUUGGGUACCUCCACAGUCUCUACCCUGAGACAAAUCGAGAGUGUAGCACAUUGAACUUUAACAAAUUGCAAGGUUCCAGUGUUAGAAUAGUAUUUUGCGCUAUUCUUGGUAUUUUUGAAGGUCGUUGACUGAGUGCCGACCUAUUGCUCAUAUUUCGAGAAUGCGAGAAGGAGUACUUAGCACCAAAAUCUGUAAAUUCAGGUUUUCGGGUGUCGAGUACCGGUACCUGGGUGAGGUACCGGAACACCAUUGCGUGACCGAGAAAGCUGCUCUCUGGUUUGGGCUGAGAGGAAUUGAGUACCGGUACUGAGUUAUCAAGUACCGGUACUCGGGUCAGGUACCGGUACUGCAUCAAGUGGGUACCGGUACGUCGUAAACAUAUCGCUUGACCGAGGCUCGGGUUUGGCGGGACUGGUUGUCGGGUAACGGUACUCCCCUUCGAGUACCGGUACGGAGUGCAGAAACUGCAUUUCGUGCAGUUUGUUAUUUUUGGAGAUUUGAGAGGCUUUGAGGGAAUUGUUACAACUUGUAUAAGAUGUCCCCUUCCUCCCCCACAGGCCUCUUUGUGCUAAGCUUAAAGAGAAGCCAAAGUAGGGUUUUCUCUCUUUCUCUCUCUAGAUUUCUCUCCCAAACCUCUUUUGAUUUGGGAUUUUAUCUUUUUUUCUCCUUCCUUUCCAUAGUGGCUUGCUUGGUGAACCCUAGAGGAAGCUUAGAAGUGAAGAAAAGAACUUUGUUGAGGAUCAAACUCUAACCCUAGCUCAAGUUAGCUUGAUUUGGAGCUUUCCUUGAGAGUUUAUUUUGGGGUUUAUUUUGGGUUACUUAUCUUGCAACAUCUAUUUGUGAAUUUUGCAAAAUUUGUAGAUGAAAAUCUAGUUUUGGAAGAACCAGGGUUUAUUUUGGGGUUUCUUGUUAAAGGCUUUUGGAACCUAAUUGAUGAGUGUAGAACUCUCCUUUAGGUUGGAAUUAAAGCUCUAUUGGGUUGAUUUGAGCCUUGGACAAGUUUUACUUGGUCAAAAGUAAUUUUUACCUCUUUUCCUUGUGAUUUUUGAUGAUUUGUAUGAUGUUCGUUCGAAGCUGGUAACCCUCUUAGAAAUUCUCUUAGGGUACUAGAGGCUUGGUGGACAACUUCGUUCAAAGGAAUGAAAGGGUGUCACGGCCCGCCCCGAAACCACUACCGAUUUGGCACGGUUCGGCCGCGGCGGCGGAGCGCCGAACGGACAGCACCUCCCCUGUCCGCCCAAGGCUCAACAACAGGAAUGUGUACAAGAAUUUACCCAGGAAAUUAAAUUCUAAAUAUACACAUUCACAAGGGCACGAACAGUGCCAACAACACAAAGAGCAAGCAAUCCACAAGAUAAAGUAUGUGAAAUAAAGAGAGUACUUUACUAACUAUUACAAUAGUUCCAUCAUUUUCAUUUACAUCAUUUUGCAUCCUAAAUACAUAGCUCUCCAAGUCCUCACCUACAAUGAAUCUCUCUCAAUACAUAGGUGCACUAAUGCAAAAAGGAAAGCUACUAUACUACCACGGUCUCACUGAUCGGGCGCGAUGCCCUUGCCGCGGUCCUCUCUCAGCAACCCUGAACCUACCACUGGAAAUAGUGUGGGGUGAGAACUAUCUUCCAUAGUUCCCAGUGGGCUCGGCCGCCGACUCUGCCGAUCUCCCCACUAGGUCCAAGUGGGCACAAGUAACAACAGAUAGAUAGAUAGAUAUGUAUCUGAAAACUGUAAAUGCAAUAGUAGG